rnacentral:rRNA from 1 species
AUUGAACGCUGGCGGCAUGCUUUACACAUGCAAGUCGAACGGCAGCACGGGCUCCGGCCUGGUGGCGAGUGGCGAACGGGUGAGUAAUAUAUCGGAACGUACCCAGAAGUGGGGGAUAACGUAGCGAAAGUUACGCUAAUACCGCAUACGAUCUAUGGAUGAAAGCAGGGGACCGCAAGGCCUUGUGCUCCUGGAGCGGCCGAUAUCUGAUUAGCUAGUUGGUGAGGUAAAGGCUCACCAAGGCGACGAUCAGUAGCUGGUCUGAGAGGACGACCAGCCACACUGGAACUGAGACACGGUCCAGACUCCUACGGGAGGCAGCAGUGGGGAAUUUUGGACAAUGGGCGCAAGCCUGAUCCAGCAAUGCCGCGUGAGUGAAGAAGGCCUUCGGGUUGUAAAGCUCUUUUGUCAGGGAAGAAACGGUAGAGGCUAAUAUCCUUUGCUAAUGACGGUACCUGAAGAAUAAGCACCGGCUAACUACGUG